GAUUUCUGGUAUGAUGCCCUGAUCCGCGGCCCUCGGGUUGUGUGUGUUGGUGUGGUGUCUGCCAUCUGUUGUGUAGAUGCUUUGCCCGGGGCCUUUACUGGUUUCGGUGUCUUAGAUUCGUCUACAUCUUUUACUUUGAAAAAAUUAGAGUGUUUAAAGCAGGCUUUUAGCCCUUGAAUACAUUAGCAUGGAAUAAUAAUAUAGGACUUCGGUUCUAUUUUGUUGGUUUCUAGUACUAAUUCGCUGAAGACUAACUUAUGCGAAAGCAUU
rnacentral:rRNA from 1 species